GGGCCCGCACAAGCGGCGGAGCGUGCGGUUUAAUUCGACGCAACGCGCAGAACCUUACCAGGGCUUGACAUGCGACUGCAGAGCGGUGAAAGCCGAAGUCCUUCGAGGGUGUCGCACAGGUGCUGCAUGGCUGUCGUCAGCUCGUGUCGUGAGAUGUUGGGUUAAGUCCCGCAACGAGCGCAACCCUCGCCGCCAGUUACGUGGGUGUCUGGCGGGACUGCCGGUAGCAAGCCGGAGGAAGGCGGGGAUGAUGUCAAGUCAGCAUGGCCCUUACGUCCUGGGCUACACGCACGCUACAAUGGCGCGCACAGAGGGUAGCCAAACCGCGAGGUGGAGCGAAUCCCAAAAAGCGCGUCUCAGUUCAGAUUGUGGGCUGCAACUCGCCCGCAUGAAGGCGGAGUCGCUAGUAAACGCCGGUCAGCAAUACGGCGUUGAAUACGUUCCCGGGCCUU
rnacentral:rRNA from 1 species